UACGUAGGUGGCAAGCGUUGUCCGGAAUUAUUGGGCGAAAAGCGCGCGCAGGCGGCCCCUUAAGGCUGAUGUGAAAGCCCCCGGCUCAACCGGGGAGGGCCAUUGGAAACUGGGAGGCUUGAGUAUAGGAGAGGAAAGUGGAAUUCCACGUGUAGCGGUGAAAUGCGUAGAUAUGUGGAGGAACACCAGUGGUGAAGGCGACUCUUCGGCCUAUCACUGACGCUGAGGCGCGAAAGCGUGGGGAGCAAACAGG
rnacentral:misc_RNA from 1 species